GGANUGCANUGGGCGAAAGCCUGAUGCAGCGACGCCGCGUGGGGGGUGAAGCAUUUCGGUGUGUAAACCCCUUUCGAUCCGGACGAAUACCUCGCAAGAGGGGUGACGGUACGGAUAUAAGAAGCCCCGGCUAACUACGUGCCAGCAGCCGCGGUAAGACGUAGGGGGCCAGCGUUGUUCGGAAUUACUGGGUGUAAAGGGUUCGUAGGCGGUGCGGCAAGUUGGGAGUGAAAUCUCUGGGCUCAACCCAGAGGCUGCUUCCAAAACUGCUGUGCUUGAGUGUGAGAGAGGCUCGUGGAAUUGCAGGUGUAGCGGUGAAAUGCGUAGAUAUCUGCAGGAACACCCGUGGCGAAAGCGGCGAGCUGGAUCACUACUGACGCUGAGGAACGAAAGCUAGGGGAGCAAACAGGAUUAGAUACCCUGGUAGUCCUAGCCCUAAACGAUCAGGACUUGGGGUGCCACCCGUUCGGGUGUCGUCCCGGAGCUAACGCGUUAAGUCCUGCACCUGGGGAGUACGGUCGCAAGACUGAAACUCAAAAAAAUUGACGGA
rnacentral:rRNA from 1 species